rnacentral:rRNA from 1 species
CCUACGGGUGGCAGCAGUGAGGAAUAUUGGUCAAUGGACGAGAGUCUGAACCAGCCAAGUAGCGUGAAGGAUGACUGCCCUAUGGGUUGUAAACUUCUUUUAUAUGGGAAUAAAACGUUCCACGUGUGGGAUUUUGUAUGUACCAUAUGAAUAAGGAUCGGCUAACUCCGUGCCAGCAGCCGCGGUAAUACGGAGGAUCCGAGCGUUAUCCGGAUUUAUUGGGUUUAAAGGGAGCGUAGGUGGAUUGUUAAGUCAGUUGUGAAAGUUUGCGGCUCAACCGUAAAAUUGCAGUUGAAACUGGCAGUCUUGAGUACAGUAGAGGUGGGCGGAAUUCGUGGUGUAGCGGUGAAAUGCUUAGAUAUCGCGAAGAACUCCGAUUGCGAAGGCAGUUCACUGGACUGCAAUUGACACUGAGGCUCGAAAGUGUGGGUAUCAAACAGGAUUAGAUACCCCUGUAGUC